rnacentral:rRNA from 1 species
GACGAGCCACCCGAACGUUAUUCGGAAUUACUGGGCGUAAAGCGCGUGUAGGCGGGCUGAUAAGUCGGACGUGAAAGCCCUGGGCUCAACCCAGGAACUGCAUCCGAAACUGUCAGUCUGGAGUGGUGGAGAGGGAAGCAGAAUUCCUGGUGUAGAGGUGAAAUUCGUAGAUAUCAGGAGGAACACCGGUGGCGAAGGCGGCUUCCUGGACACUAACUGACGCUGAGACGCGAAAGCGUGGGGAGCAAACAGG